rnacentral:rRNA from 1 species
UACGAAGGGGGCUAGCGUUGUUCGGAAUUACUGGGCGUAAAGCGCGCGUAGGCGGACGUUUAAGUCAGGGGUGAAAUGCCGGGGCUCAACCUCGGAACUGCCUUUGAUACUGGACGUCUGGAGUUCGGGAGAGGUGAGUGGAAUUCCGAGUGUAGAGGUGAAAUUCGUAGAUAUUCGGAAGAACACCAGUGGCGAAGGCGACUCACUGGCCCGUUACUGACGCUGAGGCGCGAAAGCGUGGGGAGCAAACAGG